rnacentral:rRNA from 1 species
UAGGGAAUCUUCGGCAAUGGGGGGAACCCUGACCGAGCAACGCCGCGUGAGUGAAGAAGGUUUUCGGAUCGUAAAGCUCUGUUGUUAAGGAAGAACGAGUGUGAGAAUGGAAAGUUCAUGCUGUGACGGUACUUAACCAGAAAGGGACGGCUAACUACGUGCCAGCAGCCGCGGUAAUACGUAGGUCCCGAGCGUUGUCCGGAUUUAUUGGGCGUAAAGCGAGCGCAGGCGGUUAGAAAAGUCUGAAGUGAAAGGCAGUGGCUCAACCAUUGUAGGCUUUGGAAACUGUUUAACUUGAGUGCAGAAGGGGAGAGUGGAAUUCCAUGUGUAGCGGUGAAAUGCUUAGAUAUCAUGACGAACUCCGAUUGCGCAGGCAGCUUACUGUAGCAUAACUGACGCUGAUGCUCGAAAGUGCGGGUAUCAAACAGG